GCAAUUUUCUCCGGGUUCUGGAGUGCUGGGCAGGUGAGAGGAGCCAGUGCGCUCUGCCCAGUGUUGCCCAUUUCAGGUACAAUGUCUUUGCUCUACAAGGUGAUGAAGGGAUUGUCCCUGCCCGGCCUACCUCAUGGGGAUCCUGAUUUUUUGUGAACCUGGCUCUGUGUGUAUUCAAAACCUCAUUUAAGGCUAACAGAAGCCGAUGAUGGAGACCCAUUUAUCCCCACUGCACAGAUGAACAAACAGAGGA